rnacentral:rRNA from 1 species
UACAGAGGUCUCAAGCGUUGUUCGGAUUCAUUGGGCGUAAAGGGUGUGUAGGUGGCGCGCUAAGUCGGGUGUGAAAUUUCGGAGCUUAACUCCGAAACUGCAUUCGAUACUGGCGUGCUUGAGGACUGGAGAGGAGACUGGAAUUCAUGGUGUAGCAGUGAGAUGCGUAGAGAUCAUGAGGAAGACCAGUGGCGAAGGCGGGUCUCUGGACAGUUCCUGACACUGAGGCACGAAGGCCAGGGGAGCAAACGGG